GACGAGCGCUCGCUUCGUGCUUACACAUGCAAGUCGAACGGAAAGGCCCUGCUUUUGUGGGGUGCUCGAGUGGCGAACGGGUGAGUAACACGUGAGUAACCUGCCCUUGACUUUGGGAUAACUUCAGGAAACUGGGGCUAAUACCGGAUAGGAGCUCCUGCUGCAUGGUGGGGGUUGGAAAGUUUCGGCGGUUGGGGAUGGACUCGCGGCUUAUCAGCUUGUUGGUGGGGUAGUGGCUUACCAAGGCUUUGACGGGUAGCCGGCCUGAGAGGGUGACCGGCCACAUUGGGACUGAGAUACGGCCCAGACCCCUACGGGAGGCAGCAGUGGGGAAUAUUGCACAAUGGGCGGAAGCCUGAUGCAGCGACGCCGCGUGCGGGAUGACGGCCUUCGGGUUGUAAACCGCUUUCGCCUGUGACGAAGCGUGAGUGACGGUAAUGGGUAAAGAAGCACCGGCUAACUACGUGCCAGCAGCCGCGGUGAUACGUAGGGUGCGAGCGUUGUCCGGAUUUAUUGGGCGUAAAGGGCUCGUAGGUGGUUGAUCGCGUCGGAAGUGUAAUCUUGGGGCUUAACCCUGAGCGUGCUUUCGAUACGGGUUGACUUGAGGAAGGUAGGGGAGAAUGGAAUUCCUGGUGGAGCGGUGGAAUGCGCAGAUAUCAGGAGGAACACCAGUGGCGAAGGCGGUUCUCUGGGCCUUUCCUGACGCUGAGGAGCGAAAGCGUGGGGAGCGAACAGGCUUAGAUACCCUGGUAGUCCACGCUGUAAACGGUGGGUACUAGGUGUGGGGUCCAUUCCACGGGUUCCGUGCCGUAGCUAACGCUUUAAGUACCCCGCCUGGGGAGUACGGCCGCAAGGCUAAAACUCAAAGGAAUUGACGGGGCCCCGCACAAGCGGCGGAGCAUGCGGAUUAAUUCGAUGCAACGCGUAGAACCUUACCUGGGUUUGACAUGGAUCGGGAGUGCUCAGAGAUGGGUGUGCCUCUUUUGGGGUCGGUUCACAGGUGGUGCAUGCCUGUCGUCAGCUCGUGUCGUGAGAUGUUGGGUUAAGUCCCGCAACGAGCGCAACCCUUGUUCACUGUUGCCAGCACGUUAUGGUGGGGACUCAGUGGAGACCGCCGGGGUCAACUCGGAGGAAGGUGGGGAUGACGUCAAGUCAUCAUGCCCCUUAUGUCCAGGGCUUCACGCAUGCUACAAUGGCUGGUACAGAGAGUGGCGAGCCUGUGAGGGUGAGCGGAUCUCGGAAAGCCGGUCUCAGUUCGGAUUGGGGUCUGCAACUCGACCUCAUGAAGUCGGAGUCGCUAGUAAUCGCAGAUCAGCAACGCUGCGGUGAAUACGUUCCCGGGGCU
rnacentral:rRNA from 1 species